rnacentral:rRNA from 1 species
UACGUAGGGGGCGAGCGUUGUCCGGAUUUAUUGGGCGUAAAGAGCGUGUAGGCGGCCAGGUAGGUCUGCUGUGAAAACUCGAGGCUCAACCUCGAGACGUCGGCGGAAACCAUCUGGCUAGAGUCCGGAAGAGGAGAGUGGAAUUCCUGGAUGUAGCGGUGAAAUGCGCAGAUAUCAGGAAGAACACCAAUGGCGAAGGCAGCUCUCUGGGACGGUACUGACGCUGAGACGCGAAAGCGUGGGGAGCGAACAGG